rnacentral:lncRNA from 13 species
CACCAUUUUCUCAGAAAAAUUGUAAACUAAGUUAUGCAUAUAUACACACUGUGUCUGUCUUUGAAUAAAAUUUGGUAAAAUCAAUGAAACCGGCUACUACAAAUUUCAGGCAGUAAGAAGAUGUCUUUUUUAUUUUUAAUCUAGUAAAUAAUUCACAUCGUAGAAAGGGCAGAGGCAACUUGAUUAACCACUCUAUGAGGAAUAAAACUUUUUAAGCAAGACACUCUGAGUCGAAUCAGAGUUAGGAUCAUUUUCUUCAUGUUUAGUUGCUGCUUAACACUAAAGUGGAGAAGGAGGAGAAAUAGGAAGAAAACAGGAAGCAGUACCAAGUGUCAUCAGCCCAAUAACUCUUGAGUUCUAAAUGCUGGAAGUCCAACACCAAGGUGUAAGCAGGGUUGGUUCCCCCUAUGCCUUUCUCCUUGGCUUAUUGAUGGCCACCUUACUGCUGUAUCCUCAUGUGGUCUUCCCUCUGCUGACUGUCAUGCAAAACCCAAAGCAUUUUGAAGAGGACCAAUUUUAAUCUGUCUUUUCAUGAAGAUUUAUGCCAUCAUCAGUUUUAUAUAAAGAAAGAAAAACCCUGCGCUCAGAAAAAAGAUACCUGCAAAUAAGAUGUACAUUAACAUAAAUGAAGCUUCAAUGAGGUCAGUGGGGCCAGGGCUUUGUUUACUAAUCCAUUGUGUAUUUGCAGCAAGAUAAAAAAACAAUAAGAUACUAAUCUCCUAAACAUUAAAAAUAUUAUUUACAAGUUGCUUUAAAGUAAAAUUAAUUUAUAAAAUAUUUUCCAUAUCUAUUGGUUUAAAAUGCUUCUUUUGUUUCAAGAAAGACAACUGACUAGUAAAGAGGUGUCUACUCGACAUUAAACAUGCCAACAAACAUUAACUUUAGAGAGUUUACAACAGCUGGAAUAUUUCAAGUACAGUUCUAUCCUUCUUCAAAGUAAAAUGCUAAACUGAAAUGUGGCUUUUCACCUGAUUCUUGUAGUACUGUCAGGAUUGUUGUUAUAUAAUUGUUGUGACGUUCUUCUUAGCAAAUUAACUCUUAUUAUGCAGAGAAAAACAAAUACACAAAACAAAAACAAAAGCAAAUUAUCAUUAGCAAUCCAAAUUGGAAAACCUCUGCUAUCAGCUUAAAGAAAUAACUAGGCAUAACAAGCAGAAACAGAUGAUUUAAUUGAUCCAGAUCAUUCAUACUGAAAUAAAGUGGUUAUAUAAAUAUAAGAUUUAAAUCA